rnacentral:rRNA from 1 species
AUUGAACGCUGGCGGCAGGCCUAACACAUGCAAGUCGAACGAGUGGCGGACGGGUGAGUAAUGUCUGGGAAACUGCCUGAUGGAGGGGGAUAACUACUGGAAACGGUAGCUAAUACCGAAUAACAUCAGAUCUGCCCAGAUGGGAUUAGCUAGUUGGUGGGGUAACGGCUCACCAAGGCGACGAUCCCUAGCUGGACUGAGAGGAUGCCAGGCCACACGGGAACUGAGACACGGACCAGACUCCUACGGGAGGCAGCAGUGGGGAAUAUUGCACAAUGGGCGCAAGCCUGAUGCAGCCAUGCCGCGUGUAUGAAGAAGGCCUUCGGGUUGUAAAGGACUUUCAGCGGGGAGGCGUUACCCGCAGAAGAAGCACCGGCUAAAUCCGUGCCAGCAGCCGCGGUAAUUC